AUUGAACGCUGGCGGCAGGCCUAACACAUGCAAGUCGAACGGUAACAGGAAGCAGCUUGCUGCUUUGCUGACGAGUGGCGGACGGGUGAGUAAUGUCUGGGAAACUGCCUGAUGGAGGGGGAUAACUACUGGAAACGGUAGCUAAUACCGCAUAACGUCGCAAGACCAAAGAGGGGGACCUUCGGGCCUCUUGCCAUCGGAUGUGCCCAGAUGGGAUUAGCUAGUAGGUGGGGUAACGGCUCACCUAGGCGACGAUCCCUAGCUGGUCCGAGAGGAUGACCAGCCACACUGGAACUGAGACACGAUCCAGACUCCUACGGGAGGCAGCAGUGGGGAAUAUUGCACAAUGGGCGCAAGCCUGAUGCAGCCAUGCCGCGUGUAUGAAGAAGGCCUUCGGGUUGUAAAGUACUUUCAGCGGGGAGGAAGGGAGUAAAGUUAAUACCUUUGCUCAUUGACGUUACCCGCAGAAGAAGCACCGGCUAACUCCGUG
rnacentral:rRNA from 1 species